rnacentral:rRNA from 1 species
GUGGGGAAUAUUGCGCAAUGGGCGAAAGCCUGACGCAGCGACGCCGCGUGGGGGAUGAAGGCCUUCGGGUUGUAAACCUCUUUCACCACCGACGAAGCUAACGUGACGGUAGGUGGGGAAGAAGCGCCGGCUAACUACGUGCCAGCAGCCGCGGUAAUACGUAGGGCGCAAGCGUUGUCCGGAAUUAUUGGGCGUAAAGAGCUCGUAGGCGGUCUGUCACGUCUGCCGUGAAAACCCGAGGCUUAACCUCGUGGCUUGCGGUGGAUACGGGCAGACUAGAGGUAGGUAGGGGAGAACGGAAUUCCCGGUGUAGCGGUGAAAUGCGCAGAUAUCGGGAGGAACACCGGUGGCGAAGGCGGUUCUCUGGGCCUUACCUGACGCUGAGGAGCGAAAGCAUGGGGAGCGAACAGGAUUAGAUACCCUUGUAGUCC